rnacentral:rRNA from 1 species
ACUGCUCAGUAACACGUGGACAACCUGCUCUUAGGACGGGGAUAAACCCGGGAAACUGGGUAUAAUACCCGAUAGGUCUCGAUUGCUGGAAUGCAUCGAGAUUUAAAGCUCCGGCGCCUAAGGAUGGGUCUGCGGCCUAUCAGGUAGUAGUGGGUGUAGCGUACCUACUAGCCUACGACGGGUACGGGUUGUGAGAGCAAGAGCCCGGAGAUGGAUUCUGAGACACGAAUCCAGGCCCUACGGGGUGCAGCAGGCGCGAAAACUUUACAAUGCUGGCAACAGCGAUAAGGGAACCUCGAGUGCCAGGUUACAAAUCUGGCUGUCGAGAUGCCUAAAAAGCAUUUCAUAGCAAGGGCCGGGCAAGACCGGUGCCAGCCGCCGCGGUAACACCGGCGGCUCGAGUGGUAACCGUUAUUAUUGGGUCUAAAGGGUCUGUAGCCGGCCGGAUAAGUCUCUUGAGAAAUCUGGCAGCUUAACUGUCAGGCUUUCAGGAGAUACUGUCUGGCUCGAGGCCGGGAGAGGUGAGAGGUACUUCAGGGGUAGGGGUGAAAUCUUGUAAUCCUUGAAGGACCACCAGUGGCGAAGGCGUCUCACCAGAACGGACCUGACGGCAAGGGACGAAAGCUAGGGGCACGAACCGGAUUAGAUACCCGGGUAGUCCUAGCCGUAAACGAUACUCGCUAGGUGUCGGCCACGGUGCGACCGUUGUCGGUGCCGUAGGGAAGCCGUGAAGCGAGCCACCUGGGAAGUACGGCCGCAAGGCUGAAACUUAAAGGAAUUGGCGGGGGAGCACCACAACGGGUGGAGCUUGCGGUUUAAUUGGAUUCAACGCCGGAAAUCUUACCGGGACCGACAGCAAUAUGAAGGCCAGGCUGAAGACUUUGCCGGAUUAGCUGAGAGGUGGUGCAUGGCCGUCGUCAGUUCGUACUGUGAAGCAUCCUGUUAAGUCAGGCAACGAGCGAGACCCCCACC